UGAGGAAUAUUGCACAAUGGGCGCAAGCCUGAUGCAGCAACGCCGCGUGGAUGAUGAAGGCCUUCGGGUUGUAAAAUCCUUUUCUGGGGAAAGAUAAUGACGGUACCCCAGGAAUAAGUUCCGGCUAACUACGUGCCAGCAGCCGCGGUAAAACGUAGGGGACGAGCGUUAUCCGGAUUUACUGGGCGUAAAGCGCAUGUAGGUGGCUUGAAAAGUUGGACGUGAAAGCUCCUGGCUUAACUGGGAGAGGUCGUACAAAACUAGCAAGCUUGAGGUUGGAAGAGGAGAGCAGAAUUCCCGGUGUAGUGGUGGAAUGCGUAGAUAUCGGGAGGAAUACCAGUGGCGAAAGCGGCUCUCUGGUUCAAUACUGACACUGAGAUGCGAAAGCGUGGGGAGCGAACGGGAUUAGAUACCCAGGUAGUCCCUGAGCGGGCUGGCAAGGCGCAU
rnacentral:rRNA from 1 species